UACGUAGGGAGCAAGCGUUGUCCGGAAUCAUUGGGCGUAAAGCGCGCGUAGGUGGCCUCAUAAGUCCGCUGUGAAAGUCAAAGGCUCAACCUUUGAAAGCCGGUGGAUACUGUGGGGCUAGAGUACGGAAGAGGCGAGUGGAAUUCCUGGUGUAGCGGUGGAAUGCGCAGAUAUCAGGAGGAACACCAAUAGCGAAAGCAGCUUUCUGGGACGGUACUGACGCUGAGACGCGAAAGCGUGGGGAGCGAACAGG
rnacentral:rRNA from 1 species